AUUGAACGCUGGCGGCAUGCUUUACACAUGCAAGUCGAACGGUAACAGGCCGCAAGGUGCUGACGAGUGGCGAACGGGUGAGUAAUGCAUCGGAACGUGCCCAGUCGUGGGGGAUAACUACUCGAAAGAGUAGCUAAUACCGCAUACGAUCUAUGGAUGAAAGCGGGGGACCGUAAGGCCUCGCGCGAUUGGAGCGGCCGAUGUCAGAUUAGGUAGUUGGUCGGGUAAAGGCUCACCAAGCCAACGAUCUGUAGCUGGUCUGAGAGGACGACCAGCCACACUGGGACUGAGACACGGCCCAGACUCCUACGGGAGGCAGCAGUGGGGAAUUUUGGACAAUGGGCGCAAGCCUGAUCCAGCAAUGCCGCGUGCAGGAAGAAGGCCUUCGGGUUGUAAACUGCUUUUGUACGGAACGAAACGGCUCUGGUUAAGACCCGGGGCUAAUGACGGUACCGUAAGAAUAAGCACCGGCUAACUACGU
rnacentral:rRNA from 1 species